GAUGAGGUUGGCCAAGAUACUUCAAUUUAUUUCUGAAUUUCAAUUAAAAGUACCUUUACUGCAAUUCGGACGUUACAAUUCGGAUAAACCAAAUGAAAUUACCCCGAAAAUCAGGUUCAGCAGCCGGAGCGUGCACCUAGCGACGGAGGCAAGAGUCACCUGCAGAAGAUUUUCUUCAAGUCUUCUCAGAAGAAUCGUCAAGCGAAAUGCUAAUUGUCCAUAGCUGAAAAGUGGUUUUCACUACAUCCUCUGAGGAGCAUCCGAUAGGAAAACUUCUGCAGGCCGAUCAGUCAUUCCUUAAGCUGGUCAUCCUCUUCCGCUAAGUGCGCUGUCUCUCAGAACUUUGAAGGUUGGGGUUCCCCAAUUGGAAUGCUUAUUGUCGGAAGGGGAUGAAGAUAUAGUGGUUUACAGGUUGUCACUGUUAUAGCCAAGAGUGGGAUGGGACUUCGCUGUCUCCCAGAACUCGAAGAUCGGGGUUCCCCAAGCUGAUUGCUAAUUGUCCGUAGGGUAUGAAGAUAUAGUGGUUUAGGGGUUGCCACUAUAAUCUCCAGAAGUGGGACGGGAGCAGCGGGACAGCAGAUUUGGCAGCGUAGAGGAUGGACGGGCGGACCUGGAGUAGUGAUGCAAUCCAGGACUUCAAGGGGAUGGCCUCAUGAACACAAUGGAAAUGUUCGAGGACGGCGGUAGUCAGUACGCUCAACGUAAUGGGGAAACCGUUCUGAGGUUCAGGUCGACAGUUAAUGACAUCAAGAGCGGCAAUUAAGAAUAUGUUUGCCAAAUCGUCAGCACUCCCUUGACGGAGUAACCUUGUCCAUUUUAUGGCAACCAGACAUGAAUUGUCUUUAAAUUGUCUUUCAGUUAAGGUCUCAUUGACCAUCAUGCACUGGUCUAUUUGGAUCAAUUAAAUACUUAAUAAUAAUUAAAUAUUUUCCCCUGAAAGAUUACAGGGGCAGGUCGAUACUUAAUGAUGUGGUUAAGAAGCAACAGUGUUAACGGGGACCAAGUGAUCAUACUUACCAUACGACAAUUUAAGAAAACAUCUUUGUGUAAGCUGCAAUAAUAAAGCAUUUGUUUCUAAACCUUUUGCAUUCUAUAAUUCAUGUAUACAAUUAGUUUGCAGAUAAUUUGUGCAAAUAGUCUGCAAAUACCUGUCAAUUCAUUGCUUUGACAGACAGCAGAUAUUUUAAUAUAUUGUGAAAUGGAAAAUGGUGUGUGGGAAGGUUACCAGGCCAAAUCCUUUACCAUGCCUUGACCAUUAUUGAGGUGAAGUUUAAACUGCGUCAGGUGAAGUAUAGACUUUGGUCCUUGAUAAAAUCUUUUACAAUUCUUGUAUGUCUUGAACUAAAGUGAGCCCUACAGGGUCUUUUGUUGUAUGUCUUUAACUCAGCUGGGCACCUAGUGCCCAUGCGACAUAUUGUGUUCUGUAUUGGUCUGGCGAUUGGCAUAGUGUAUCCUUUGUCUAUUUGUUACCACUGUAGAGGACAGAUUUUUCAUUCAAUCUUUAUGAAAGUUUAUCAGAAAUUUUAUCUUUAAAAUAUGCAGGCUGAGUUUGAAUCUGGGUAACGUGCAUCCAUAACACUGGGUCAAUAUGUAAAAUCUUAGAAAAAUCUAGUGACCACUCAAGAAGCCUCAUUUCUUAUCGAAUUUUGAUGAAACUUGGUUAGAAUGUGACUAUAUCUUUGCAAAGUUAUAAUAUGUGUAACAUGUAGUACAAAAUUAGAUCACCAGGUGAGAAUGUUUUUCUUGACAAUAUCUUUUCCAAAUUUGAGAGGAAAUGUUUGACUACAUUUAUGUCAGUAACAUUAAAAUACUAGGUCCCCUAGUCAAGCCUUAACUAUUGGUGUAGAUUGAAAACAGGUGAGUGUCAUGGCCCUCCUGUUUCAAGUCGGGUUGGUAGGUUUAAAAAUAAGUCAAGGUGGCAG